UACGUAGGCAGCAAGCGUUGUUCGGAGUUACUGGGCGUAAAGGGUGUGUAGGCGGUUCUUUAAGUUUGGUGUGAAAUCUCCCGGCUCAACUGGGAGGGUGCGCCGAAUACUGAGGGACUAGAGUACGGGAGAGGAAAGUGGAAUUCCUGGUGUAGCGGUGAAAUGCGUAGAUAUCAGGAGGAACACCGGUGGUGUAGACGGCUUUCUGGACCGUAACUGACGCUGAGACACGAAAGCGUGGGGAGCAAACAGG
rnacentral:rRNA from 1 species